rnacentral:tRNA from 1 species
GGUGGCUAAGUGGUAGAGUGCUUGCCUUGCAUGCAUGAGGCCCUGGGUUCAAUUCCUCAGCACCU